rnacentral:rRNA from 1 species
UACGUAGGGUGCGAGCGUUGUCCGGAAUUAUUGGGCGUAAAGAGCUCGUAGGCGGUCUGUCGCGUCGAUCGUGAAAACUUGGGGCUUAACCCUGAGCUUGCGGUCGAUACGGGCAUGACUUGAGUUCGGCAGGGGAGACUGGAAUUCCUGGUGUAGCGGUGAAAUGCGCAGAUAUCAGGAGGAACACCGGUGGCGAAGGCGGGUCUCUGGGCCGAUACUGACGCUGAGGAGCGAAAGCGUGGGGAGCGAACAGG